AUGAAAAGGAAAGAACUGGUAAGAAAGAAAAACGAACAGAAGAAGAAAGAGGCCGGAAGCUCAAUAGACGAAAGAAGGGUGACUUGAUUUUGCUUCCUUUACUGCACUUUCUUUUCUGCAUGUCCGUUUGCACGAGAAGAGUGAGGUAUCGGGAAAAAAAUUGAAUGGGAGAUCACAG
rnacentral:ribozyme from 1 species